AAGUGAAAAGUGAAAGUGAAGUCGCUCAGUCAAGUCCGAGUCUUAGCGACCCCAUGGACUGGAGCCUACCAGGCUCCUCUGUCCAUGGGAUUUCCCAGGCAAGAGUCCUGGAGUGGGGUGCCAUUGCCUUCUCUGAGGAAUGAAAUAGCACUAGCUUAAACUGGUUUUGCCUCUUUAAAUGGGUUGUUGAUUAAUCAAAUUGAAAUAGCACCAGCUUAAACUGGUUUUGCCACCACUCAUAGGUUGUUGAUUAAUCAAACCUUGAGUCAUUUUACACAGACAGCAUUCUGUAUGUGUGAGAUGGAAAUUCAUGUUUCCAGGAUGACAGCGGAACCAAGAAUCUUUAGUCUACAGAACUUAAAGACUAGAAAUGUUGUCACUGGAGUCUUUUGCAAAACGAGAAGUCCUUUAAUCGGGGAAAAUCUGGCUUCCAGGAGCCCAAGUAGCUCAGAUGCUCUAAUUGAAGACUAGCCAAUUAGCUUCCGAUUUUGAAAUUCCCCUAACCAUUAAAUAUCUCCUGGAAGCCUGGAUCAGGGAGACAGAUCUGUGAGCCUUGCUCCUAUUCUUUAUGCUGGUUGGCCUUGCUGCAAACCUCUUUGUUUUCUCAAAAGCCAGUCCCAUAGUCUCGGCUUCUCUGUGUGUGAUCCGGCAGUGAGCCUUUGCUUGGUAACCGGAGCAUGGCAAUGGGCAAAUUAAGAGUAACGUUUUAAAUAGCUGAUGUCACUGAUUGAUCUGAGAUCUCAUUUUACUUUCUAUGAGAAAAAAUGCUGAAGCUAGCCCCAAAUUUCCCAUUGUCAGGAGAGUGUGGCUGAAGCUCUUGUGACCAACCCUCUUUGAAGGUGUUGCAUAAGAAAAUCAUGGCAAUGAUCAUUUCCUCCACGGUGUCCCGCACAGAUUGUGUUCCCAGCCUCAUUAUGGAUUGCCAGGCAUGGCAGGAGUCUCUGUCGUCUGAGGAAGCCAAACACACAAAUUGUUCCUGGGCAGAGCAGAGUGUCAAGACUCCAUCCACCACACUCACAGCUGGAUGGAACUCACCUUUGGCCCCAGCUAUGGAACAGAGAUCAGAAGAGGACUGGCCUUGGAGCUGCUCCUCUCCGUGGAAAUGUUUACAGCCGGUGAAACUGGGGGUGCUGAGGGCAUAGCAGUGGAGGUACAUUCUCAGCAGCACUGAGUCCUGGGAAAAGAAUGAACGCAUAGAUUCUGGCGCUCAGGCCUGCAUCACUCCCUGUGGCUUCUCACGGCCGGUAGCCCACGGAUGGUCAGUUCUCUACCUUUGUUUUCCCUUUGGGAGAAGAUGUACAUGGUAUUCACAGUGAACUUCUCAGACUCUCAAAGACAACCAACAACACCUGCAGAAAAAUGUGCAUCCUUCCUCAAGAAACCAUCUCUCCCUGCAGUGAAACAC
ensembl:lncRNA